rnacentral:tRNA from 1 species
GGGCGAGUGGCGAAAUUGGUAUACGCACAACACUUAAAAUGUUGACCCGGAAACGGGUUGAGGGUUCGAGUCCCUCCUUGCCCACAA